AAAGCUUUCCCGCUCGUCGUUCACUGGCGAAACAAGCUUUGGAUUCGAAUCCCUCGUCCCCAAAUUCUCCGCGUCUGUCAAUCUAGAAAUCUGCGAACUACCAUGGAAACGUGCGACUUCGGUAGCUGGCAUCCAACCUUACCGGUGAAGUUCUCUCUUCGACAUUCUAUAUCCAUCUCGAGGGAUACUGGAGGAAUCAACACUGUGGGUAGUCUUAGUGGACCACAUAGCAGAGCUGUUAAUCUCUGACAUAGGUGUGGAUCACAUCAUUGAUAACUUUCCACGCUUCGUCUCCCAGUCGUUCAUCCUUAUUGAUUCGGAACCUCGUCGAAAAGCUUUUGCAGUUUAUGGCUUCGAGGAUUGCGGGCGUAACGUGAAGAGAUGGAGAACGACAUAGUUUAUUGUAAUUAUUGGCAUUGGUAUUAGGAUGUACAGUAUGAAUUACCGGUGGCUUGAUCUUGAUGCGAUGCAGGGUAGGGGAUGUGGAGAACACAUAGGGAAUGUAAGACUUAUUCUCACAGAUCGAAGAGGUAGUAAUUAAAUCCCUGGAGAUCUCGAUAUAGAUAUCGAGUGCGUUGCUAAUAAUGAUUUCUCUACGACUGCGUUGGACACACGUGUCGUGUCCGACAGACACAAGAUCCUGCCAUCGCCACUAUGCCGUGACACUUGCACUGCCGAGUGCGGGCCUGCAUGUGGUCCAUGUCUCGUGAUACCCAAUAGAAUAAGAACCUUGGUUACACCGCACCAGAGGAGAUGCGAGGCUUCGUACCAGCUGGUGUGCAGAAAAUUAAAGGUACAUGACCCAAUGAGCUUUUGGGAUAUGGACCUGCUUGUGAUCUAAUUGUCUCUCACUUUCACCUGUAAUUUCGGUUGGUCUGUGAUGUGGUCGAUCCAAUUGUUCAAUCACUCAACGUUAACCUCCAUAUCUGGAUUUGUUUUGGAGCGGCGAGGAAGAUUAUUAUCCAUCAUCGACAAAAGAAUCAUCAAAACAGGGGAAAAGAGGUGCAUCCAUCUCUUUACCCUUGAUGGUGUGCUCACUGACUAGAUUUCUUUCUAGUUUGGCCUGUGAUGAACCUGUAGAUGAAUAUGAACUCGGUCGUGGAUAACAUGUUUUUAAAUAUAUUGGACCAGUAGAGUAGACAGAAGGUAUUUAUUAUUAAUAAAAAAAUAGAAAGCAAACAAUGCAAUCCACAAUCAGGAUAGGAACAGCCAUGAGAGUGACAGGAACAAAGCAGAACCAUUAGAAAGUUACGUUAGAUGUGAGUAAAACUGUUCAUUGUCAUUUGAGUUAUUUCAAUG